AAUAGAUACCCAGGUAGUCCACGCCGUAAACGAUGGAUGCUAGCUGUUAUGCGUAUCGACCCGUGUAGUAGCGAAGCUAACGCGUUAAGCAUCCCGCCUGGGGAGUACGAACGCAAGUUUAAAACUCAAAGGAAUUGACGGGGACCCGCACAAGCGGUGGAGCGUGUUCUUUAAUUCGAGGCUAAGCGAAGAACCUUACCAGGGCUUGACAUCCUUGGAAUUUCUCCGAAAGGAGAGAGUACUUUAUUGGACCAAGUGACAGGUGCUGCAUGGCCGUCGUCAGCUCGUGUCGUGAGAUGUUUGGUUAAGUCCAUUAACGAGCGCAACCCUUAUGAAUAGUUGUAUUUUUCUAUUCAGACUGCCCCGGUAACGGGGAGGAAGGGGGGGAUGAUGUCAGGUCAGUAUUGCCCUUACGCCCUGGGCUAGAAACGCGCUACAAUGGCCGGUACAAUGCGCUGCCAACCCGCGAGGGGGAGCAAAUCGCAUCAAAGCCGGUCCCAGUUCGGAUAAGAGGCUGAAACUCGCCUCUUGAAGCCGGAAUCGCUAGU
rnacentral:rRNA from 1 species